rnacentral:lncRNA from 10 species
AUGAAAGGCUGGAAGAAGGCAAAGAAAAGAUGAGGGUCUGAGUAGCAAUGUUCACAUGAAGCCAAUGCCACUUGGCUUUAUUCAGGGGUGUCCUUGAAUCUUAGAACAACCUCUUCAUGCAUGUAGAGCCGGAGUUUCACCGUGUUAGCCAGGAUGGUCUCGAUCUCCUGACCUUGUGAUGGGCCUCCCAAAGUGCUGGGAUUACAGACGUGAGCCACCGCGCCCGUACCAUGAUGCUACACAAGGAAUGAAACAAAAGCAUCAAAGUAUAUGAUUUUCUACAAGAAAGACUAUACUUGCAGCUUGCCAAAAUGAUCUAGCCCUAUCAGCAGAUGGAAAGAUCACCCUUGUCAUUGGCAGAAGCUUACUGGAUACACAUCACAGAAGUCAGCUCAGGAAGAAAUGAGGCAGAUUUUCUUGUGGCUUGUAAAAUUACUCUACAGUAGGCAUAAACUCUGAGAUGCAUAUUUUAAACCACUCAAUGCUUUACACUUAUACUUCCUAUAAUAGAAUCCAUACGGUAGUUUUCCUGAAGCAACUUCUUGGAAAGAUUAAUGUAGAAGGAUAAAAAGAUAGGGUGGGAAUACAGAAUUGUUUUCAGAGCCUCAACUCUCCUCUCAAAGGCAAAAACUCCAUUUUUAUUUCUCUGUGUCCGCAAUAUCUAGACUAUACCCUAAACAUAGAAGAUGCCCGCCUCUUCCACUUCUUUUCAGAAAUAUGUGAAUAAAUGAACUAUAUAUAAACAGGAGACAGAUUAGAUAUGUGCUCCUGUGGAUGGCAGGCAAACCAUCCCCAACAGAUGGCUGUCUUCUCUGGUUAUUAAGAUAAGUACUGGCUCAUGGGGUGGAACUAAAAGGCAGGAGGCAGUAACUCUAAUGAAAACCAGGCCCACCUUUCUUUCCAUUUCUUAUAUUUGCAAGUGAGACGUGAUACUUGUACUUUGUCAUCUUAGCAACAGGGAUGAAGAUCAAUGGCUAAAACAAGAAGAGGCUAAAUAUGAAUCGGGAAGAACGAUGCCGAUGUAAAUAAAAA